UACGUAGGUGGCAAGCGUUAUCCGGAUUUAUUGGGUGUAAAGGGCGUGUAGGCGGGAGCGCAAGUCAGAUGUGAAAACUCAGGGCUCAACCCUGAGCCUGCAUUUGAAACUGCGUUUCUUGAGUGCUGGAGAGGCAAUCGGAAUUCCGUGUGUAGCGGUGAAAUGCGUAGAUAUAUGGAGGAACACCGGUGGCGAAAGCGGCUCUCUGGCCUGUAACUGACACUGAGGCUCGAAAGCGUGGGGAGCAAACAGG
rnacentral:rRNA from 1 species